AACAGAAUAAGCACUGCAAUUCAAGGAGCUCAUGAAGGGGGUAUAUUUGCCCUUUGUAUGUUACGAGAUGGCACUCUUGUGUCUGGAGGUGGAAAGGACAGAAAGUUGAUAUCUUGGAAUGGAAAUUAUCAGAAAAUUCAUAAAACUGAGAUUCUGGAGCAGUAUGGUCCUAUAAGAACAAUAGCAGAAGGGAAGGGGGACAUUGUUUUGAUAGGAACCACUCGAAACUUUGUGCUCCAAGGUUCUUUGUCAGGAGGCUUUUCUCCCAUUACCCAGGGCCAUACUGAUGAGCUUUGGGGACUAGCAGUCCAUCCCACCAAACCUCAGUUUUUUACAUGCGGGCAAGACAAACACAUUAUGCUUUGGGAUGCAAUCAGUCAUCAUCCAAUCUGGAACAAAACUA